rnacentral:SRP_RNA from 1 species
GCUGGGUGUGGUGGUGCGCGCCUGUAGUCCCAGCUACUUGGGAGGCUGAGGCAUGAGACUCGCUUGAACCCAGGAGGCGGAGGUUGCAGUGAGCUGAGGUCACGCCACUGCACUCCAGCCUGGUUGACAGAGUGAGACCCUGUCUCAA